rnacentral:tRNA from 1 species
AGCCUCGAGGUGUUUUACAUAUAAGAUUGCAAAUCUUGAGUAGCAGAAUAAUAUCUGCCGGGGCUU